AAUGAGGAGUUGAGUUGUAGCUGGCCUUUUAACAUUGGCAUGUGCACACUCUUCUCUUUCAUCCACACACCCCUGUGCACUUGUGAGACAGUCAAGGUCCUUUGGGGUUGGGGGGCAGAGCUUUAUUGCAAAACCCUUUUUCCCCUUUUGCCUUUGCUGUCUACUCAAUUUAUACACACUCUAAUUAAUUUUAAAACGAAUGUAAUUGAUGUAACGCAUCUAAUACUAAGUUUCAACAACGGAUCUCUUGGCUCUCGCAUCGAUGAAGAACGCAGCGAAAUGCGAUAAGUAAUGUGAAUUGCAGAAUUCAGUGAAUCAUCGAAUCUUUGAACGCACCUUGCGCUCCUUGGUAUUCCUUGGAGCAUGCCUGUUUGAGUAUCAUGAAAUCUUCAAAGCAAACCUUUUGUUAAUUCAAUCGGUUUCUUGCUUUGGUAUUGGAGGUCUUUGCAGCUUCACACCUGCUCCUCUUUGUUCAUUAGCUGGAUCUCAGUGUUAUGCUUGGUUCCACUCGGCGUGAUAAGUUAUCUAUCGCUGAGGACACCGUAAAAAAGUGGCCAAGGUAAAUGCAGACGAACCGCUUCUAAUAGUCCAUUGACUUGGACAAUUAAA
rnacentral:misc_RNA from 1 species